UGUUUGUGUGUUUCUUUCCUUCUCUCUUCGCCUCUUCGUUCUGGCUCUUUUCCUCUUUCUGCGGGGCGCCCCCGGACUUCCUGAGUUGACAGAACGACCAGCCAGAAAAGUCAGGACACGGAGAACUUCGCCCGAGAAAACCAACGCAAUCUACCAGACGUACAGAACCCCCUCCCCGACGACCACAGCGUCCACAGUCUGCUCGAGUGCAGGGCGAAAGAAACUUUGGUAAUAUAUUUCUUUAAAUCUUGGCUCAUGGAUCCAAACAAAUCUGGUCGGGUCUCCUCUGAAGUUCAGAAUAAUAUAAAAAGGCCCAUCCUUUGUCAGGCUGUAAGAAAAUAAUUUCUCAGAUACCAUUGUGUAAAAGCAUCCUGCCUUUGUCAUGGAAUCAGUGACAUAUCUUUCGUUGAUCAAAACAGCAGUGGGAGUACCUGUGGAGCAAUGAUAAGGAUUCAGGAAAUAGUUUACGAUUCAAGUGCAUCCUAAAGUUGGAGCAACCCUGGCUAGAAUAUCAUAGAUCCUUGAGUUGGCAGAGACCUUUCACUCUUCAGUAUAUUUAUAUUCAACGCAAAGAUCCUUCCUUCUAUAUCAUCCUUGACAACAGACCACCUAGAUUCUGUGUAAAUAAUUCCGAUGACAAGAAACGCAUUAAAUAAAGAGACCCCUUUGUUUUUAGAGUUUUAAAUGUUU
rnacentral:lncRNA from 1 species